GACGAACGCUGGCGGCGUGCUUAACACAUGCAAGUCGAACGGAAAGGCCCUGCUUGCAGGGUACUCGAGUGGCGAACGGGUGAGUAACACGUGGGUGAUCUGCCCUGCACUUCGGGAUAAGCUUGGGAAACUGGGUCUAAUACCGGAUAGGAGCCAUCUUUAGUGUGGUGGUUGGAAAGUUUUUUCGGUGUAGGAUGAGCUCGCGGCCUAUCAGCUUGUUGGUGGGGUAAUGGCCUACCAAGGCGGCGACGGGUAGCUGGCCUGAGAGGGUGUACGGCCACAUUGGGACUGAGAUACGGCCCAGACUCCUACGGGAGGCAGCAGUGGGGAAUAUUGCACAAUGGGCGCAAGCCUGAUGCAGCGACGCCGCGUGGGGGAGGAAGGCCUUCGGGUUGUAAACUCCUUUCGCUAGGGACGAAGCUUUUUGUGACGGUACCUAGAUAAGAAGCACCGGCUAACUACGUG
rnacentral:rRNA from 1 species